rnacentral:rRNA from 1 species
GACGAACGCUGGCGGCGUGCCUAAUACAUGCAAGUAGAACGCUGAAGAGAGGAGCUUGCUCUUCUUGGAUGAGUUGCGAACGGGUGAGUAACGCGUAGGUAACCUGCCUGGUAGCGGGGGAUAACUAUUGGAAACGAUAGCUAAUACCGCAUGAUAUUAAUUGUCGCAUGAUAAUUAAUUGAAAGAUGCAAUUGCAUCACUACCAGAUGGACCUGCGUUGUAUUAGCUAGUUGGUGAGGUAACGGCUCACCAAGGCGACGAUACAUAGCCGACCUGAGAGGGUGAUCGGCCACACUGGGACUGAGACACGGCCCAGACUCCUACGGGAGGCAGCAGUAGGGAAUCUUCGGCAAUGGGGGGAACCCUGACCGAGCAACGCCGCGUGAGUGAAGAAGGUUUUCGGAUCGUAAAGCUCUGUUGUAAGAGAAGAACGGGUGUGAGAGUGGAAAUUUCACACA